GUGCUUGCUUCUGCAACACAUGUACUAAAAUUGGAACGAUGCAGACAAGAUUAGUGUGGGCACAAGGAGGACACAUAAAUUUGUGAUGGGCUCCAUGUUAUU
ensembl:snRNA U6 U6 spliceosomal RNA